GUCAGCCUCACCUCAGUCCUUGGAAAAAUCCUGGAGCAGGUCCUCAAGGAAUCCAUUUUGAAGCAUUUGGAGAAGAGGAAGUUGAUCAGAAACAGUCAUCAUGAAUUCACCAAGGGGAAGUCAUGCUUGACAAACCUGAUUGCCUUC